rnacentral:rRNA from 1 species
UACGGGAGGCAGCAGUGGGGAAUAUUGGACAAUGGGGGAAACCCUGAUCCAGCCAUGCCGCGUGUGUGAAGAAGGCUUUCGGGUUGUAAAGCACUUUCAGUAGGGAGGAAAACCUUAUGGUUAAUACCCAUGAGGCUUGACGUUACCUACAGAAGAAGCACCAGCUAACUCCGUGCCAGCAGCCGCGGUAAU